rnacentral:rRNA from 1 species
GUGCCAGCAGCCGCGGUAAAACGUAGGAGCCAAGCGUUAUCCGAAUUCACUGGGCGUAAAGCGCGAGCAGGCGGUUCGUUAAGUUGGAUGUGAAAUCUCCUGGCUCAACUGGGAGAGGACGUACAAGACUGGCGGACUAGAGGGCAGUAGAGGGAGGUGGAAUUCCCGGUGUAGUGGUGAAAUGCGUAGAUAUCGGGAGGAACACCAGUGGCGAAAGCGGCCUCCUGGACUGCACCUGACGCUGAGAUGCGAAAGCUAGGGGAGCAAACGGGAUUAGAAACCCCGGUAGUCCUAGCCGUAAACGAUGUAGACUAGGCGUGGGUGGGGUAAAAGCCAUCCGUGCCGGAGCUAACGCGAUAAGUCUACCGCCUGGGGACUACGGCCGCAAGGUUAAA